ACUCCUAUUGAUUCUAAUCACAAAUUAGGAAUAGCAGAAAAAGAUAUGCCAGUAAACAAAAAAUAUGUAUUAAAAAUUAGUUGGGAAAUUGAUAUACCUACCUUGCACGAAAGCAAACAUCGUCUAUGCAGUGAGUCUUAUAAGUUAAUUCAUGCACAGUUUGAAAGACGUGCAAUUACAAGCAGCCUACAGAGUAUUGCAUUACCCAAAAUGGUUACCUAGAAAAAAAAAAUUAUAUCGAGGAAAAGUGAUAGAUUGUCUAUACAGAUGUAAAUUAUGCAAGGUCAGUUGUAGAUAGAAACUCUACCACAUGAUAUUGUAUCUUCCUUAGGGAAAACAUAGUUACUGGAGAAAUAAGAAACAAAAAAUGGUUACGAAAUCAAGGACAAAAUCAGAAUUUUAAAAAAUGGCAGAAAUGGUAUGUAAACUACUAUAGAUAAGAAAAAUUUUGGAAGAUUUUAGAAUCAAGUGGAAAAACUUCAUGCAUCUAUACUGUAUUAUAUAUUGAUAAUAUUAUCAUAAUAUGAGAUGAUUAGAAAGAAAAACUAAUACUAACUAGUGUUUGGCAAAAGAAUUCGAAGUCAAGGAACUAGAUAAGUUAAAAUAUUUUCUAGUAAUUGAAGUCGCAUUCUCAAAAUCCAAAAUUUUUAUUUCUCAAUAAACAUUCAUAACCUGUUGAGAGAUACUUGUAAGUUAGCAUUUGCAAACGAACUAGCACUCCUAUUGAUUCUAAUCACAAAUUAGGAAUAGCAGAAAAAGAUAUGCCAGUAAACAAAAAAUAUGUAUUAAAAAUUAGUUGGGAAAUUGAUAUACCUACCUUGCACGAAAGCAAACAUCGUCUAUGCAGUGAGUCUUAUAAGUUAAUUCAUGCACAGUUUGAAAGACGUGCAAUUACAAGCAGCCUACAGAGUAUUGCAUUACCCAAAAUGGUUACCUAGAAAAAAAAAAUUAUAUCGAGGAAGAGUGAUAGAUUGUCUAUACAGAUGUAAAUUAUGCAAGGUCAGUUGUAGAUAGAAACUCUACCACAUGAUAUUGUAUCUUCCUUAGGGAAAACAUAGUUACUGGAGAAAUAAGAAACAAAAAAUGGUUACGAAAUCAAGGACAAAAUCAGAAUUUUAAAAAAUGGCAGAAAUGGUAUGUAAACUACUAUAGAUAAGAAAAAUUUUGGAAGAUUUUAGAAUCAAGUGGAAAAACUUCAUGCAUCUAUACUGUAUUAUAUAUUGAUAAUAUUAUCAUAAUAUGAGAUGAUUAGAAAGAAAAACUAAUACUAACUAGUGUUUGGCAAAAGAAUUCGAAGUCAAGGAACUAGAUAAGUUAAAAUAUUUUCUAGUAAUUGAAGUCGCAUUCUCAAAAUCCAAAAUUUUUAUUUCUCAAUAAACAUUCAUAACCUGUUGAGAGAUACUUGUAAGUUAGCAUUUGCAAACGAACUAGCACUCCUAUUGAUUCUAAUCACAAAUUAAGAAUAGCAGAAAAAGAUAUGCCAGUAAACAAAAAAU
rnacentral:lncRNA from 1 species